GCAAGUCGAGCGGAACGAGUUAUCUGAACCUUCGGGGAACGAUAACGGCGUCGAGCGGCGGACGGGUGAGUAAUGCCUAGGAAAUUGCCCUGAUGUGGGGGAUAACCAUUGGAAACGAUGGCUAAUACCGCAUAAUACCUUCGGGUCAAAGAGGGGGACCUUCGGGCCUCUCGCGUCAGGAUAUGCCUAGGUGGGAUUAGCUAGUUGGUGAGGUAAUGGCUCACCAAGGCGACGAUCCCUAGCUGGUCUGAGAGGAUGAUCAGCCACACUGGAACUGAGACACGGUCCAGACUCCUACGGGAGGCAGCAGUGGGGAAUAUUGCACAAUGGGCGCAAGCCUGAUGCAGCCAUGCCGCGUGUGUGAAGAAGGCCUUCGGGUUGUAAAGCACUUUCAGUCGUGAGGAAGGUAGUGUAGUUAAUAGCUGCAUUAUUUGACGUUAGCGACAGAAGAAGCACCGGCUAACUCCGUGCCAGCAGCCGCGGUAAUACGGAGGGUGCGAGCGUUAAUCGGAAUUACUGGGCGUAAAGCGCAUGCAGGUGGUUUGUUAAGUCAGAUGUGAAAGCCCGGGGCUCAACCUCGGAAUAGCAUUUGAAACUGGCAGACUAGAGUACUGUAGA
rnacentral:rRNA from 1 species